UACGUAGGGCGCAAGCGUUGUCCGGAAUUAUUGGGCGUAAAGAGCUCGUAGGCGGCCUGUUGCGUCCGCUGUGAAAUCCCGGGGCUCAACCCCGGGCCUGCAGUGGAUACGGGCUGGCUAGAGGCAGGCAGGGGAGAACGGAAUUCCUGGUGUAGCGGUGAAAUGCGCAGAUAUCAGGAGGAACACCGGUGGCGAAGGCGGGUCUCUGGGCCGAUACUGACGCUGAGGCACGAAAGCGUGGGGAGCAAACAGG
rnacentral:rRNA from 1 species